UACAGAGGGGGCAAGCGUUGUUCGGAAUUAUUGGGCGUAAAGCGCGCGUAGGCGGCUACCUAAGUCAGAUGUGAAAGCCCCUGGCUUAACCGGGGAAGUGCACCCGAAACUGGGUAGCUAGAGUGCAAAAGAGGGUCGCGGAAUUCCCAGUGUAGAGGUGAAAUUCGUAGAUAUUGGGAGGAACACCGGUGGCGAAGGCGGCGACCUGGGUUGACACUGACGCUGAGGCGCGAAAGCGUGGGGAGCAAACAGG
rnacentral:rRNA from 1 species